rnacentral:lncRNA from 1 species
UAUGUAAUAGUAAAAGUUCAAUGAUAAGUUAAUCAUUGAACUUUUACUGACUUACAAACCGUCAAAAAUAUAUGAAAAGUACAUAAAAAGCACUUGCAGAAACCUAAUUCCCCUGAACUGGACGAGUCUAAAUAUGUUUAACUUAAAUGAUAGUUAAACAGUACUCAGACUGGUAUAUACAAUUAACAGUUACCAAAUUGAAAUGAAAACGGACCAAUUUAAUGGCAUUACAUCAUAUAAUUAUUUAUUUAUGAUAAAAAAAAAAUUAGCAUCUAAAUAACACCAAAUGAUAGUUUUACAAAAUUAGGGGGUAAAUUUAUAUAUUUUUUAGCCAACUUUUCAAAAUAACGAUUUCUUAUUUAAUAAAUCAGCAAUCAAAACCCCCGUACAGACCUCAUUUAUAACUGACCAAUGAAUAUUAUGCCCAACAACUUCAUGCUAUAUAUACUUGAUGUUUUUGAUCUGUCAGUAAUCAUGAAAUAGAAUCGUAAAGAUCAGACCUUAGAAAACAGUAAGUAAACUCUUCCAACAAUUAGCUUUUUAAACAGCUUGUUUAAGAACUUUUAAUCGGACAGUCCUAGAUGCAUAAGGUCCUUCACAAUAUUCAUCCGGCAAAUGUUCCUUUUGUUUCUGAUUUGGUAAUUUUCCUACAUUAAGAUACAUGCGAAUGCAAAAUAAUUAGUGUUGUCUAUUCAGUCCAAUCAAUUAAUAGAUCUUGCUUUAUUUGUGUUUUUUUUUUUUAAAUAAGAACUAUGCAUGCAAACUUCAAUGAAUAAAACCGUAUUGAACUAGGUUUCACUGUCCCGAUCAAAACGUGUUGGGUGAGAUAUAUUCGCAAGUUCAAUAUAUUAUAUGAAAACAAACACUUUAAUUUAGUCGUCCGUUAUUCCCUUUUCGUGUCUAAAUGAAGCAAAAACACCUGAAAAAAACUUUUAUCUUUCUUAGUUUUAUCCUUGCCUGACAAAAAAAAAUCAUAUGUUAUAAAUCGUAUUUAAACAUUAUUUUUAGAUAAGAACAAUAGUAAAAAAAUAUCUAAAACUUUUGAAUAAGCAGUCAUUUAUGUGAUAAACUGAAGAGACUCCCCCCCCCCCCCAAAAAAAA